rnacentral:rRNA from 1 species
GACAGAGGAGGCAAGCGUUGUCCGGACUGACUGGGCGUAAAGCGUCCGCAGGUGGUCGUGCAAGUGCGCUGUGAAAGCGGCCCGCUCAACGGGCCGAGGCCAGCGCAGACUGCGCGACUCGAGGUCGGGAGAGGUCGGUGGAAUUGCCGGUGUAGUGGUGAAAUGCGUAGAGAUCGGCAGGAACACCCAAGGGGAAGCCAGCCGACUGGCCCGCACCUGACACUCGAGGGACGACAGCGUGGGGAGCGAACAGG